rnacentral:rRNA from 1 species
UGCAAGUCGAACGAGGGACGAGGUGCUUGCACCUUGUACCCGAGUGGCGGACGGGUGAGUAACACGUGACCAACCUAGCUUCGAGAGGGGGACAACCCGGGGAAACCUGGGCUAAUACCGCGUAGGGCUCUGGUUUCGCAUGGAACUGGAGUGAAAGGGAGCCUCUGCAUGCAAGCUCUCGCUCGAAGGGGGGGUCGCGGCGUAUCAGCUAGUUGGUGGGGUAAUGGCCUACCAAGGCGACGACGCGUAGCGGGUCUGAGAGGACGACCCGUCACAUUGGGACUGAGAUACGGCCCAGACUCCUACGGGAGGCAGCAGUGGGGAAUAUUGCGCAAUGGUCGAAAGACUGACGCAGCGACGCCGCGUGUGGGAGGAAGCCCCUAGGGGUGUAAACCACUGUCAGAAGGGAAGAACAGCGUGGAUUCGAACAGGAUUCAUGUUUGACGGUACCUUCAGAGGAAGCGCCGGCUAACUCCGUGCCAGCAGCCGCGGUAAGACGGAGGGCGCGAGCGUUGUUCGGAAUUACUGGGCGUAAAGCGCGUGCAGGCGGCCCUUUAAGUCUUUUGUGAAACUCCGGGGCUCAACUCCGGAACGGCAAAGGAUACUGGGGGGCUAGAGACCGGUAGAGGCUAGUGGAAUUCCUGGUGUAGCGGUGGAAUGCGUAGAUAUCAGGAGGAACACCGGUGGCGAAGGCGACUAGCUGGGCCGGGUCUGACGCUCAAGCGCGAAAGCGUGGGGAGCAAACAGGAUUAGAUACCCUGGUAGUCCACGCCGUAAACGAUGGGGCACUAGAUGCCGGGCCUUUC